AGCGAACGCUGGCGGCAGGCCUAACACAUGCAAGUCGAACGAAGUCUUCGGACUUAGUGGCGGACGGGUGAGUAACACGUGGGAACGUGCCUUUAGGUUCGGAAUAACUCAGGGAAACUUGUGCUAAUACCGAAUGUGCCCUUCGGGGGAAAGAUUUAUCGCCUUUAGAGCGGCCCGCGCCUGAUUAGCUAGUUGGUGAGGUAAAGGCUCACCAAGGCGACGAUCAGUAGCUGGUCUGAGAGGAUGAUCAGCCACAUUGGGACUGAGACACGGCCCAGACUCCUACGGGAGGCAGCAGUGGGGAAUCUUGCGCAAUGGGCGAAAGCCUGACGCAGCCAGGCCGCGUGAAUGAUGAAGGUCUUAGGAUUGUAAAAUUCUUUCACCGGGGACGAUAAUGACGGUACCCGGAGAAGAAGCCCCGGCUAACUUCGUGCCAGCCGCCGCCGUAA
rnacentral:rRNA from 1 species